rnacentral:rRNA from 1 species
UGGCUUCGGCUACCACUUACAGAUGGACCCGCGGCGCAUUAGCUAGUUGGUGAGGUAACGGCUCACCAAGGCAACGAUGCGUAGCCGACCUGAGAGGGUGAUCGGCCACACUGGGACUGAGACACGGCCCAGACUCCUACGGGAGGCAGCAGUAGGGAAUCUUCCGCAAUGGACGAAAGUCUGACGGAGCAACGCCGCGU